GCCAGCAUGGCAUGGUGGUUUGAACGUUGAACUAUGACUUUGGAGACCAGGGUUCGAUUCCCUGCUCAGACA